rnacentral:rRNA from 1 species
UACGUAGGUGACCAGCGUUGUCCGGAUUUACUGGGCGUAAAGAGCGCGCAGGCGGUCGUUCAAGUCGAGUGUGAAAGCCCCCGGCUCAACUGGGGAGGGUCACUCGAUACUGAUCGACUUGAAGGCAGGAGAGGGAAGCGGAAUUCCCGGUGUAGUGGUGAAAUGCGUAGAUAUCACGAGGAAUACCAACAGCGUAGGCAGCUUUCUGGAAGGUUCCUGACUCUGAGGCACGAAGGCCAGGGGAGCAAACGGG